UACGGGGGGGGCGAGCGUUGUUCGGAAUUACUGGGCGUAAAGGGUUUGUAGGUGGCCUGCUAAGUCAGACGUGAAAUCCCUCAGCUUAACUGGGGAACUGCGUCUGAUACUGGCGGGCUUGAGGACAGGAGAGGAACGCGGAAUUCCAGGUGUAGCGGUGAAAUGCGUAGAUAUCAGGAGGAACACCGGUGGCGAAGGCGGCCCUCUGGACGGUGACUGACGCUGAGACGCGAAAGCGUGGGGAGCAAACAGG
rnacentral:rRNA from 1 species